AGGUCUUGACAUCCUCUGACACUCCUAGAGAUAGGACGUUCCCCUUCGGGGGACAGAGUGACAGGUGGUGCAUGGUUGUCGUCAGCUCGUGUCGUGAGAUGUUGGGUUAAGUCCCGCAACGAGCGCAACCCUUGAUCUUAGUUGCCAGCAUUCAGUUGGGCACUCUAAGGUGACUGCCGGUGACAAACCGGAGGAAGGUGGGGAUGACGUAGACCUUGGACC
rnacentral:misc_RNA from 1 species